ensembl:snRNA U6 U6 spliceosomal RNA
GUGCUCGCUUCGGCAGCACAUAUACUAACAUUGGAACGAUGCAGAGAAGAUUACCGUGGCCCCCGCACAAAGAUGACACGCAAAUUCGUGAAGCGUUCCGUAUUUUU